GAGCAGGAUAUAUUUUAUACAAGAUCUGCUCCAAAUCUCCUUAAACUUUAAUGAAAAAAAGGAACUCAUGCGCAUACUACUGCUGCAAGCUGGUAGAGUAUUCUUAGAGUUUCUGGAAGUUUAGGGUUGAAUCAUUUGUUUCUUUCAAUUCAUUGCUGCAUUCUAUUUCCAGCGACGGUUGUGGUCUUGGUAGAGCUGGAGACCUUGGAGCCUGUUAUCUGAGAAAUAACGUGCAGAAGAGAACUUCACCCUGCCCCACUUCAGCUGCUCUCACCUCCAUAACAGCAUCUUCCUCACUAAGGGAUCCAGCAGAUCGACUCCCUCGUAUGAAAUGCUGCGUGUGCUACACACCAAAGGCUCAGAGGGUUGUGCUGUGGCUUUUCUUGCAGACUCUGCUCUUCUCAAACUGUUUAAUGGGACCCAAAUAGAACAACGCAUCCCGCUAUUACUUCAGGGAUGGGGCAAUGGGCCUCCCUGGGAGGAUACGCACCUAGAGAGACUCACUGCAUCAGAAGGACCUGGAUGACACCAGCAACAUCACGGCACCACUGGAAUCAACAUGGUGUAAGACUCCUUCUGCUUUCCAGCUCCUACUGAAAUGCUCGCUAAAGGGUAGGGUGCUAAAACCAAAUGUGGUGGUUAUUCGCAUUUCUUACAGCUGAGUGCAGUUCAAAGAUUCUAGCAGAUCAAAUGGCCUGCUGUAAAGAACUGUACAAUGUUUCUAACAGCUGAACAGCUCAGAGCAUCCCUUUACUUUAGCUAGCAGUACCACGCUGUGAGAUUUCGUGUCUAUGCAGUACAUUAAUAGGAAGUGACUUGCAGUAUUCCCACCUGACCCACUUGACCCUUUCUAACCCAUGACAAGCUGUCACCAAUGAGACAUGCCUGCAAACAGACCCAGCAUCCACCCUCAGGUUUGCUGGCAAAUACCCUUGCAACAAGCCAAUCGUCUUGCAUACUCUAAAUAAUAAAUAAUAAGGAGUGUAAAGGCCA
rnacentral:lncRNA from 1 species